AAGUCGUAACAAGGUUUCCGUAGGUGAACCUGCGGAAGGAUCAUUAUUGAAUAAACUUGAUGUGGUUGUAGCUGACUUUCGCAAGAGAGUAUGUGCUCGCCCGUCACCUUUAUCUUUCCACCUGUGCACUUUUUGUAGAUUUGAAUUGUAGCUUUCCGAGGUAACUCGGUUGGGAGGAAUGUCAUUCGUGGCUUUUCUUGUAAUACGUUCAAGUCUAUGUUUUCAUAUACUCCAAAAAUGUAACAGAAUGUAUCAUUGGGCCUUGUGCCUAUAAACUUUAUACAACUUUCAGCAACGGAUCUCUUGGCUCUC
rnacentral:misc_RNA from 1 species